UCCCCACGGAGUCUCUUCACGGUGCCUGGUUUGAUGACAUCAUUGCAGGGCAAAGGGAUCACUCGGCCGUCGAUGGUGGGAAUGUUCACAGUGCAGCCACACAGCGCCUGGGGAAGACGAAGCAGAAAGUGAGGAAAAGGUGGGGCAAGGUCAUGGAGGUCCCCUUAAGGCCAUGCUGCAUCCUCAGGGGCCCUCCUGGGAUGGGGUUCUGCAUCAGAACCUGGCGUCUGGACCCCUUCACUUAGGCAGAAGGGGUGAAGUAUCUCCGGGGAGCUCUCCCAGCUCCUGCCUUCUUUCUAAACAAAGGUGAGGCUGAAUGGAGGAAUGGGUGCAAUUCCAAGACAGGUCACAUGGUGGCAUGGUGUCUGCACUGCUUCCCUCUUUCCCACUCCUAUCCCUCCCAUUGCUCCAUGCCAGAGAGAAAAAUGUCUUAGCUGGAAGAAUACUGGGGGUGCCAGCCGGUAUCUGGUGAAUCUGGGAGUUGGCACGUCUAGGAGGUAGGCAGGAAGAAUGGAAGGAACCGGCAGCAUGGAGAAUAGGAAGAGGGAGUUGGGAGGACGAGGGUGCACAGAGGGGCAUGGAACACAAGGCCAGGAGGAGGGGAAGAAAAUAACCUUCUUAUCUAUAUAUGAUUAGCCCAUUUAGUUUUGAGGAUAGAAUGGGGAGGGUGAAGAGGAGGAGAAUGUGAAAGAAACGUGGAUUCUGUUGGGGAGGAAGGACAGUUCUUCCCAGGAAGGAGAGUCCUCAGCGUGACAAUGUCUCUUAAUAUAGCCUGACAGGUGCCUGUGGCUGGCGGAUGGCAGGCAGCCCUGAGGGGCAGGCCCAGAAUUAGCAGCUACAUCAUGGCCGUGGGAUGUGCUGGGAGGGGCCUCCCUCUCAGAGGCUUUAUUUGGGCCUUUCCUGCCUCCCACCCCAUGGCCACCAGCUACCCCAGGGAAGGGGGAAGAUGCCAGCAGCAGUUCCCCUUCCACCCUUGGAUCCCUGCCACUUCCUCUGGGAGGCAAAGCUCCACCUCUGUUCUGCUGGCCAGAAGCAGGCAGGACUGGGGGAGAGAAGGGGAAAACCAUUUCUGCUCAGAGCUCUGGUAGUUAAUUCCCAGGCUGCUUAAGGGCCAGACUUUUAUGCUGAUGAAUGUAAAUGCUCUGUCCUCAGAGAGCCACACACUCCCUCUCCCCAACCUUCCCCAUCAGCCAAUGAAGCAGCAGAGACUUCAGGCAGGACUAAUAAGGCUGGGAAGGAAAGAAGGGCGGGGAAGGCCUCUGGCUCUUGCUUCAGACCUCUCUAAGGCCUGAACCCAAGGAGGGAGGGAGCAUAGAGAGGCGGGGAGAACUAGGGUGAGCUGAGCUGGGUAGUGGGUGGGCUCCUGUCUCCUCUGGGUGGCAGUGCUGGAAACCCGUGCCGCCCUCACCCCUCCACAGCCUCCAGUUCCCUGCUACACAAACUGGUGCACCCAGGACCUCUACCAAGCAGAGGGGUCCGGGAUUGGGCUAGAGUGCUGCCCUCUUACCUUCCUCCCCAUACUGGUCAUACAGGCCCCGUUUCUUGGGGUCACUCAGCACAUCAUAGGCCUCUGCAAUCUCCUUAAACUUCUCCUCAGCAUUGGGUUCUUUAUUCUUGUCUGGGUGGUACUUCAAGGCCAUCUUCCGGUAGGCUUUCUUGAUCUCAUCCUCAUUAGCCCCCGAUGGGAUCCCAAGAAUCUUGUAAUAAUCUUUUCCCAUCACAGCCACUGGACCAGCACUGGUCUCCUUGUUUCUGAAAGAAACCCAGGGCCAAGACUUGAUGCCUUCUCCUCUUCUGCCCCAGCCCUGUUCCUGAUGAUCUUGCAAUCCCUAAAUGACUCCCUGGGUAACCUUCAGCAGGUCAUGCCUGUUCUGUGGGCCUGUAUACCCCCCAUCUGUAAAAUGAAAGGUUUGGACUAGAUGAUCUCUUCCGGCUCUGACAUUCUAGAAUUCUGUGAUUCCGUCCUCACCUCCUGGGUUUUCCCAGCAGGAAAAUGAAGGUUGUGGCCCACUCUUGGGGCUAGGCGGAGGCCCUGGUCCUUGGGCCAGUCUGAGGACCCCUGAGAGGCCCUGCUGAGUGAGGUGGCACCAUGGACUGAGCGACCCACACACAGGAGCUGGCGAAGGCUCUGCUGCAGGUGGCUGGGUUGACUCAUGGUUCUGGGAGUCACCUUUCUCUGACGAAGAAAAGGCUCAACAAAGGCGGGUACUCCCCCAUCACCCCCCACCAGCAUGUCACGUCUGUGGGGGAGAUGUAGGGGGGGGGGAUUGGGAGAGGCAGAGAAGAAAGAGCACCCUGGGCGGGGGGGCAGCCAUUUUCAGAAAUGGCAGCAAAAGCCGUCUGAGAGGGAGCUGGGGGUGGUCUGCCAUUUCUGCCUCAACCCACACCUUCUUCUCCCUGGGACUGGGAAGGAACCCUAGCACACCAAGAGGGUGCCCCCAGAGAACUACAGCAGCUUCCAGGCAGAGGGCCAGUGGAACAGUUCACCAACCACCCACCUCCUUUUUCUGUCCCUGCGUUACCUCCGCACCCGGCCAGCUUCCUCCCUGGUACCCACCUGCUAGCUGCUCUAGGCCCAUACAUCUCUUGCCUCCACAGAUACAGGGCAAGCUCUUUCAGGAUCUGCCUCCUUUUUCUACUUCUGCUUUCCUCCCUCCUUCCCUUCCCCCCUACCCACAGGCCACGUGUUGGAAUGACAAAGGAGCCCCAUGGCAUGGCACUGCCUUUGAUGGAGAAGAAUGAGGAGGAUGUUAAGGUAGAGGCAGGAAGGAAAAAUGGGGAGAAAAUGGCAAGGGGGACUGUUGAGGUACAGGGAGGGGAGAUGGCUGAUACCGAAAAUGAUGUACUGAUGGAGGGGGAUGAGUGACAAGUGGAAAUGGCUGAGGUGGAAAAUGGGUUAAUGAUGGGUUGAAAGGGAGGAAUGUAGAGAGUUGAAAUAUUGGAGGAAAUGUCUGUGGAAAAUGGAUACCUGAAGGGUUUGAGAUAAGAGGAAUGAAAAGGGGUGCAAUUCAUUCAAAUAUGUAGGUGAGGCAGGAGAGGGGUCCCUGUAUGUCACGGAGGGGAUGAGGAUGAGGUGGAGGAAGCAGGAAGGCAAUGGAAGGGAUGGCCGUGUGGAGGGUUUGACUGGGUAUGGGUAUGAGUGCCCUUCUCCGGAGGGACUUACCGAAACUUUACAAACCCAUUCAGCGUCCACGCUCGAAGUUUUAAGGGCUCCAGCUGAAUUUUAAACAUCAAGCUGGCUAAGAAGUCUUCUCCCCAGGAGUGUGGGAAGCUCCGGAAAGCUCCUCGGGCCUGUAGUGGGGGUGCUGCUGGGGGUGGGCAGGAGAGCACUGUGCGCUUAAACAUGCCCAGCCAAGCCCCUCACCUCUGAUCGCUCCACCGGAGCCGGCCUGAAGUGCUGCAGCUCUGGAAGCCGCCUCCUCGGACUCUCAGAGGCGCGUGCCCAGCAAGGCCUGUCUGGCGCAGCAGGUGCCGGACCUGAUCCCCAGGUGUGGAGAGUGAAGGGAGAGGACCCGUGGCCACCUGCUCUCAGGUGCAGCAGUGUCUGGCUGGCUGUGAGCGGCUGUAUGGCAGCGUGUCAGUGAGGCUGGGAGUGCAAGCGUGUGUUUGUGAGUGGCAGCGUGUGUACCUGUGACAGGUGUGAUUGUGAGGGCCCGAGAGGCAGUGAGCUCCUGUCGCCUCUCCCUGGGGAGGACCCGACCCCAAUCCCCAAGAACCUACUCAAUGAAGUCACUGACGGGAGUCUCCUCCCUCGCGGAUGGGCGGGGCAGAGCGGAGCUCGGCCGGGACAAAAGGCGCGGCGAGGAGAGGAGGGGAGGGGGCUCGGGCGGGGGAGGGUGGUCGGUGAUGUCACCCGCUCUGGCUGGCUGGCCUGCUCACAGACGCCUCCGUCCCACAGAACCCAAUCUGGUCCGGUCCGACCCGACCCUCCCCUCCCCUCCCCUCCCCUCCCCGGCUCAGACGCUGGCUGCCCCCUGUAACAGCCAAGCCCGGGUCGAGGACUCCGAGCACCCUGCAGACCCCAGGGCCCCGCACCCCCACGGCAGCAGAGCCUACGGGCCCUCAGUGUCCCAACCCCCCAACACCAGGAGCCCUGGCUUCGCGACGCCCCGCUCCCGGGACCCCCGAGUCCUGGCUCGGCGCCCUCACCGGUGAGGAGCUGCGGGCGCCGCCGUGGUCCGUGAGACAGCCGCUGCCCCCUCCCCCGGCUCCGGCUCCGCCGCCUCCACCCGGGACAGGAGUCGCCUGCCCGCCGGCCGCCGACAGCGGGACCGGGAGCCCGCCCCCACGG